GGUGCAAACGUUGCUCGGAAUCAUUGGGCGUAAAGCGCACGUAGGCGGUCCUUUAAGUCGGGUGUGAAAGCCCUCGGCUCAACCGAGGAAGUGCAUUCGAAACUGGGGGACUUGAAUACUGGAGAGGAUGGCGGAAUUCCCGGUGUAGAGGUGAAAUUCGUAGAUAUCGAGAGGAACAUCGGUGGCGAAGGCGGCCUUCUGGACGAUGACUGACGCUGAGACGCGAAAGCGUGGGGAGCAAACAGG
rnacentral:rRNA from 1 species